rnacentral:rRNA from 1 species
UACGGAGGAUGCGAGCGUUAUCCGGAUUUAUUGGGUUUAAAGGGUGCGUAGGCUGGUAAUUAAGUCAGUGGUGAAAUUCUCCGGCUCAACCGGGGGGCUGCCGUUGAUACUGGUUACCUUGAGUUUAGAUGAUGUGGGCGGAAUGUGUCAUGUAGCGGUGAAAUGCAUAGAGAUGACACAGAACACCGAUAGCGAAGGCAGCUCACAAAGCUAUUACUGACGCUGAUGCACGAAAGCGUGGGGAUCAAACAGGA